rnacentral:rRNA from 1 species
GUCGUGAGAUGUUGGGUUAAGUCCCGCAACGAGCGCAACCCCUAUUGUUAGUUGCCAUCAUUAAGUUGGGCACUCUAACGAGACUGCCGGUGAUAAACCGGAGGAAGGUGGGGAUGACGUCAAAUCAUCAUGCCCCUUAUGACCUGGGCUACACACGUGCUACAAUGGAUGGUACAACGAGUCGCGAGACAGUGAUGUUUAGCUAAUCUCUUAAAACCAUUCUCAGUUCGGAUUGUAGGCUGCAACUCGCCUACAUGAAGUCGGAAUCGCUAGUAAUCGCGGAUCAGCACGCCGCGGUGAAUACGUUCCCGGGCCUUGUACACACCGCCCGUCACACCACGGGAGUUGGGAGUACCCGAAGUAGGUUGCCUAACCGCAAGGAGGGCGCUUCCUAAGGUAAG